rnacentral:lncRNA from 1 species
CAAACUAUUAAUAUUUGUGAUUGUCAUGUGAAGAGAACCAUAAGAAAAUGUGGCCGAUGCAGAUUUAAUUAUGGUUGUAAACACAUAAAAAAUAUUGAUUUCGUAGUCUAAUAUAAAGGUUUUAGAUGUCUCUGCAAGGACAUCACAACCAUAAUAGCUGUUGCAUUUGUUUGAAUGUUGCCACAAUACAAUGGUUCACAACAUAAUCACAAUGAGCUAUAAUAUAAUAUAUUCAAAUUUUAAUUCUACCUAUAUAUGCAGACUUGGAUUGUCAAGGAUUAUCCAGAAGAGCUAGUGAUAACAACCAUUUGUUGCUGUUUUGUGGUAAUCAUAUCUACCAUUGUAGCUCUCAUUGCAGAGGGAAAUUCAAAAGCUUGGAGACUCAGACCUGAUAAAGAGUUGCUAUCUGUGUGUUACUCAGUAAGUUUAAGCUUUAUUAUAAUUAUAAUUAGGCUUAAUUGCACUUUUGGCCACCUAUCUUUCUAAAAGUUGUGAUUUUGGCCCCCUAACUAAUUAAAAUACAAAACAACCCCUAUGUAUUGGAUCUUUGACAGUUUUGGCCCCAAGGCCACUUUUGAUUAGUCUUCGCUGACGUGUCACUCACAAUGGUCGACACGUGGCACCUUACUUAAGGGAUAUAGGUGUCAUGUCAGCGAAGACUAAGUCAAAAGUGGCCUUGGGGGCCAAAACUGCCAAAGAUCCAAUACAUAAGGGACUGUUUUGUAUUUUAAUUAGUUAGGGGGUCAAAAUCGCAACUUUUAGAAAGUUAGGGGUCAAAAGUGCAAUUAAGCCUAUAAUUAUUAUUAUUAUUAUUAUUAGGCUUAAAAAAUUAUUAUGAAAUUUUAAAACAUAUUAAAAAAGUUUGCAUCAUAAUUUUUUUACAUGAAAUGUAUUGUAACGUAAAAAUAUGUUUUUUUUGUUAAGUAGUUUAUUGACUGAGAAUUUACUUUUAUAAGAUGAAUAAAUGGGGUUUCGAGGGUUCGAACUUCAUCCCCUACAUAUAUUAUGUGUUGUUGUCCAUAUCAACCAAACAAAGCUCACGAGGACUGUGUUUUUAUAAUUAUCAUUUAGCUAACGUGGAUAUUUAAAUAUGUUCUUUUAGUUUCAGAAUUAUAAAUUGUAGCUGUCUAAAUUUUGGUCUUGUGAUUAUUCAUUUAAUAAAUUAUAGGCAGCAUUUGUGGUAUCAUUAAGGAAUGUUGUAAACACAUGGGCAUGUCGUAAGAAAGGACCAAUAUAUGUAGCUACCUUCAACCCUUUAAGAGUGGUCAUUGCACUUGGCAUGCGGGGUAAUAUUUUUGGGAGACAAUCUUUAUCUUGGAAGGUAUAUAUAAAGACCAAAAAUUUGUGAAAUAUAAUUUCAAGAUUGACUAAUUUUUUGUAAUUAAAAACUGGUUUAACCUAUUGGUGCAGCGUGAUUGGUGCUGCUAUCAUAGUUAUUGGAUUUUAUGCUGUGAUAUGGGCAAAGGCUCAAGAGGAACAGACAACAAGUGAAAAUAACUUUUUGUCAUCUUCUUCAACCCCUCUAUUGUCAAACAAAAGCAUCGAUAUCUAGGAUGAUGUAGACUCUACUUUUUUAAGGUGGUAGGUUAUACUAAACAUUAUGUUUGAUAAACGUAACUAUUGUGAGAGAAAUGUGUAUUGCACGAGAAUUGAAGCAAUGUAAUCAUUCAUGAACAAACUCUUACAAAUGGUUAUUUCUAUUCACUAAAGGGCAGAUUUUCUAUAAAUAAAUAUAUUUUGGAAGUAGAAAAUAAGUCCGAAAAAGAAGGUAGAACAUUACAUUUUUGUGAGUAUAAAUUCUACCGAAAAUAAUACUAAAUCAUUGUAUCUUUUCUUUAGUGAACAAGAGAAAUUAACAUGACUUUAUUCUCUAAACUAUCAUUCUAUCUUUUCUUUUCUUUAGUGCACAAGAGAUUUGCCAUUAUACCAUUUUGCAUCCAGUCGGCAUAACUGGUGGGGACGAAUCGAACCUCAAAGUUAGUGUGUCCCACACACGCUUUGAAAUUUAUGGGCACUCUUCAUCAUUGAUGACAGAGCAUCAUAUGAUAUUUUGACUAUGUUUUUAGUAUUUUUUAUUUGCAUUUAAAUACAAAUAAGAUGAGUUAAAGGAGUUGUCAGUGGUUUGAGGAACAUAUUGUAUUGUUUUCACUCGAGUCGUUGUAAUUCAGUUUUCUCCUAGAUCAUGCAAUUCCAUAGGUGUUUUGAGUGUUUUGCAGUGAGGAAUAAUGUAAAUCAUCAAAUCAAAACAUCUUGUGAAGAUUAAGAAUUGAAGAUUAAGGGUUCUUAUUAGAUAGGAAAAUUGUUGCUCAAUGCUUUGAUAGGAAAAUUGUAGUGGCUACCAUUAAUUAAUCAUGUCAUUUUAGAUUGUAAGGAACUUAUUAGAAAUCUAGAUGUAGUUAAAGUUGAGUAUAUUAGCAGAUUGUUAAAUGCUAAAGCUCAUAACCUUGAUGGAAUUGCUAGAGAUGUUGGAUCAAAGACAUGAGUGGGGAAUGCCCCUCCACAUGGUCAAAUUAGUUGUAACCUUGUUUCUGUUUUCUGUUAAAUGAACAAGUGGAAUUUCAAAAAAAAUAAAUAAAUAAAUUAGAAGUGAGGACAAACGAAUUGGAAAGCCAGAUAUUAUUAAAGUGAGAACAAAUUUGGUUUGAUUUGGGACGCACCUUUAACGGUUUGGGUAAUAUUUUCCAAAUUGUAAUAACAGUCAACUUGGUUUGAUUAUUUUCCUAAACCAAACUAUAAAUAGUCUUGGUUUUCUGGACUAAAAUAAAUAUAAAAAAAAAGUUUUGGUUCUUCUUUUUUAAGGAAAAAUAUAAAAAAAAAUAUUAUUCAUCAAAAAAGUUAUAGUUAUCGGAUAUUUUAUUAAAGAAAGUGUUAACGAGUGUUUCAAAGACUAUUUCCAUAUUAUUUUAAUAGGAAAUGUUAGCGAGUACUUUAAGGACACUCUUUAAAAGCUUUAAAUAAUAAUUUUUUAUGAAAAUUUGUGCAUUCAAUGAAUCGAAAAUUGAAGUAUUGGACUUUUUAAUGAAAAGUUUCUUAAGACAUUUAUUGACAAUACCUAUUUUUUUUUUUCAAUUCUUUUAAAUAGAUAAAAUGAUAAACAAUUAUUGAAGUUCGCAAAUAUAAGUAGAUGGGUCGGAAUUCUAACCUUGUUGCAUCGUCCGAUCUAUCAAUUUUAACGUUUCUAUCAUUGAGGCUAGAAUUGAGGACAAAGAAAGCCCGAUAUUUUUUUUUAUCUUAAACGAAGUGUCGAAUCUGGAUCACAACAUCUGACUUUGCAAUUUCGGCAUUUACCAGUUGAGCUAGGACUAAGCCCGAUAUUAUUAAAGUAAGAAGUGAGAACAAACAAAAAAAUCAGAUAGAGACAGAAAAAACAUUGUGACCAAAGGAGCAAGUGUAACAAACAACAACUAGUGUGAGACUGCCGUGCACGGAUUAACUUUCAUAAACUAAAUACAUUUUAAAUGAUGUAAAAUAUACAGACAAACAAUAUAAAAUUAAAAUUCACGAAAAUUUAUGAUAACAUUAAAUCAUUACGGUUCUUAAAAAAAAAAAAAAAAAUAAUCAGUAAAUUCAAUGGAAAUGGUUUGAUCACGGUGUCCCUAAAUCACAAUGGUUGUCUCUUUGACACACCAACUACUUUAAUCGAGCUUUUCCGACUCUCUGUCCUAGUUUUUUUACCAUAGCAUUAUUUCAACCAAAUCAUAUUCUAUACUAUAUGGUUACCUAAUAUUGGAAGAUUUUAUUGCUACAAAUAGAAUCAUGUUACAAAAAUAUAUUUUUCUAAUCUUUUUUUAGAGAAUAUUUUCCUCAUCCUUGUGGAGCACUUGUUGAGAUGCCUAUUCUAAAGUGAAGAUAUUUUAUAUUCUUCUUUUGAUAUUUUAUGAAAGUAAUUGAUUAUCAUCGUAAUUAAUAUUAAUUAAUUAGAUGAGCCGGGAUUUUGGACUUGAUAAGACAAGCAAAUUAUUGGAGGAAAUUAAAGCAAUAUAUUUUUUAUUCUUGUAAGUUGUGUUUGUUUCUAGUUAUAUUCAUAGAUUUUUGAAAUUAAAUGAUAGAAAUAUAAGCUAAAUUAUUUCACAGGUCUUUUAAGUUUUAUGUUUAUAAUAGAUUGAUCCUUUAAGUUAUUUUGAACACACAAAAAUCCUUUAAGUUUAAGGUUUGUAAUAGAAAAAAUGUUAUUGGAAAUAGAAAAAAUUCCAGAAAAAAAAGUGGGAAUAAAGUUCUCACGAAGAUAAGAAUAAAUUCAUUCCCAAAAAGAAUAAUCAUGUGUAACUAUAUAUUAUAACCUCUAUUUUUAAGAUUCUUGAGAAUAUAUAAUCUUAACCAAACAUUUUAUUUUUAUUUUUUUUAAAUACGUUGAAAUAAAAUUCACAAUCUUAGAAAUAUAUUUAGUAAACUUGAAACAAACACAUCAUAGAUAGAUGAAAUGAUAAAUAACCAUUGAACAUCACGCAUAUAAGUAAAUGAGCUAGGAUAUUAAUCCUAAUCACAUUGUCCGACCUAACAAUUUUGACAUUUUUAUUAGUCAAACUAAAGUUAAACUUGAGGACAAGAAAAGCAGAUAUUAUAAAAGUAAGACGUGAGAACAAGCAAAUUAGAGAAAAAAUGGCGAGUGGAGGAGCAAGUGUAACAACAACAAUGAUUGCAGCUCAAAUCGUUGAAGUGGGUGGUGAAACUCUAAUGAAAUCAGCCACUAAAGAUGGAAUGAGUAUUUUUAUUUUCAUUUUUUAUUCAAACCUUUUGGCUCUAUGUUUUCUUCUACCAUCCACUCUCUUCCACCAUAGAAAAAGAGCUCCUCCUCCAAUUUCAACAUCAAUUUUCUGUAGAUUACUUCUUCUUGGUUGCCUCAAGUAAGAACAAAAUAGUAUAUAUAUUAUUAUUAUUAUAAGGAUUUGAAUUUGGUAAAAUAGAGUGAUAUGGAGCUACUUGUGCAGAACUGCAACUCAGACGUUAAUGACUUCUGGAAUUAAAUUCAGUUCUCCUGCGUUGGCUUCAGCUAUUGUUAAUCUUGUCCCUGCUUUUACCUUCAUACUUGCUAUAAUUUCAAGGUAUGUUGUUUUUAUUUUAUGGUUUAAAUUACAAGGUUUGUUCUUUUUUUGGAUUAGAAUGCAUUUACUUGCAUCAUAAAGUCAGCAACAUAAAAUAUACUCUUUUUGUCUUUAAAAAACAAAAACUGUUUUAUUCAACUUUUUUUUUAUAGAUAGAUGAAAUGUAAAGUCAUUAUGAAGUCACACACAUAAGUAGAGGUAUUAAGUUUCGAACCCCGAUUAUGACAUCCAGCCUAAUAAUUUUUGCAUUUUGCUAGUUGAGCUAGGACUUAUAGAUUGUUUUAUUCACAUUUAUUUACAACUUUUUCUUUUUUCAGAUUUAUUAAAUAAACUAUGCAUCUAGAUGAUAUUAAAUUUUAAAUUAUUAAUUAUUUAAUGAAUCAAAAAAACAAAAAUUACUUAUUUAUUUGGUGGGUAGCUUGUCUUUUCUCGAUUGCUACUGAGUUGUAUCGUAGUGUUUCGUUUCUUGUUAAUUUUCUUGGUUGUGGGACAUGCAUCUCUUUUUAGUUAGUUGACUUCUACUAGUGAAUUUUAUAAUAUCUGACAUGAUCGGUUGAAUAAAUUAAAUAAAUAGAUAAUAUGUUUCAUAUAAUAGGGUGAACAAAUAUUAUUAUUUAAAAAAAAUAUAUAAUAUGAUCCACUCUUUUCAUCUCUAUGUUGGGGAUGAAAAUAGUUUCUAUUUGAGAGAAUAAGAUUGAUUGAAACUUCCUUCCUUCAAAAAAAGAUUGAUUGAGAGAAAAAUGAAUAUUGAAAUAAGAUUUGGUAUUGAUUAUUCACAAUGGUGAUUGGUGAUGUAUUUAUACACGUAGAAUGAUGCUACUUGCUCAGCAAGUAAUGGCUUUGUCUAACAAACUAAAGUUGAAAUCCAUGAAACACUACAAGAGAAUCUAAGAUUUGCUACCAUAACUGUGCUAGGAAAUAUAUUGGUAGUGAAUAUUAAAACAAUUAGCUACCAUUUGAUUGAAUUUUGUUUUAUUUUGAUUUUAUAAUAUAUAAAAAUAAAUAAAUUACUGUAAAGGUCAUUUUUGUUUAAAAUAGAAAAAAAAAUCAUUUAGAAACCAGCACCACAUUAUUGCAAAUCGCGAUCUCAAUUUUGUCCCCCUCACUCGCACAACCUCCGCCGUGGUACCGAUCAUAAGGUCUAACGAUAAAUCAGAAGGUCAAAAUAACCUCAUUAUGUUAAUUUUUUUAUUUUGCUAAUACAAAACUGUUAACUUUCUUUGCCGCAUCAUCAUCAUUUUUUGAUAGAUAAAUGUCACAAAGAACUAAAAAUUGUAAAAACAUAGUCUAAAAACAAUAUAUUGCACUAAAAUCAGAUUUAACACAUAUUGUAGGACCAAAAAUGUUAUUAAACAAAAACAAGGGUUUAUAAAGAUCACAAAGAACUCAUAUAUAUAUCAAUUGUAACAUCUCAGAAGGUGUUUGGUACUAGAGACCAAGGUGAUUUUCAAAAAUAUCUGAACUGAUAAAGCUUGAAUAUUUUUGGGACGUUUAAUACUACAAUUACAUAUUUUUCAAAAUAUACAGCAAGAAUUUACAUUCUAGUAUAUGACUCUGACUGUGAUCCGGUAACAAAAUGGCCACUUUCAAAAUUUCAUUACUAUUAUUUAAUCCUUGCAAAUACGAGAAAAAAUAAACUAACAUGAAUACUGUGAUGUGCAUUUUCAGGAUGGAAGUUCUAAAUAUGAAAAAGCAUAGCAGCCAGGCAAAAGUUAUUGGCACAGUGGUCUCUAUUGCAGGGGCAUUAGUUGUGACAUUUUAUAAAGGGAUACCAUUGAUUAAUGAUGCCAUUAAAAAUAUAGAAAUGGGAGCAAGUGGAAUUUUCCUUUUAGGGAAAUCAGAUUGGAUAAUUGGUGCUUUUCUUGUUGCAGUUGGUAGUUUUUGUCUUUCUCUUUUGUUUAUUGUCCAGGUAAACAAACUAUGUAUCAACGUGUAAUUAUCAUAUCAAUAGGGAAAUAUAUUCAAUUUUUUUCCAUCUAUGUAUAUAUAUACAGACUUGGAUUGUCAGGGAUUAUCCAGAAGAGCUAGUGAUAAACACCAUUUGUUGCUGUUUUGUGGUAAUCAUAUCUACCAUUGUAGCUCUCAUUGCAGAGGGAAAUUCAAAUGCUUGGAGACUCAGACCUGAUAAAGAGUUGCUAUCUGUGUGUUACUCAGUAAGUUUAAGAUUUAUUAUUCUUAUUAUUAGGCUUAAAGUCUGUUCUGAGUUUAACUCAGUUGAUAGGAACGUUGCAUAUUCUAUGCAGGGAUCGGGGUUUGAACUCUGGACACCCCACUUCUCCACAUUUAAAUGUGUGAACUCUGACCACUAGACUACUUGACAAAAAAAUAAAACAUUAAAAAAGUGUGCAUCAUAAUUAUAAAUUGUAGCUUUGUGGUUAUUCAUUUAAUGAUGUCUGCCUUUAAUCAUUUAUAGGCAACUUUUGUGGAAUCAUUGAAGAAUGUUAUACAGACAUGGGCAUGUCGUAAGAAAGGACCAAUAUAUGUAGCUAUGUUCAAACCUUUAAGAGUGGUCAUUGCACUUAGCAUGGGGGUAAUAUUUUUGGGAGACAAUCUUUAUCUUGGAAGGUAAAUCUAAAGACCAACAAAUUUGUGAAAAAUUAUUUAAAUGAUGAUUAAUCCAAGAUUAUUGAUUAAUUUUUUAUAAUUAAAAAUGGUUUAACUUAUUGGUGCAGC